rnacentral:rRNA from 1 species
CGUAGGGUGCGAGCGUUAAUCGGAAUUACGUGGGCGUAAAGCGUGCGCAGGCGGUUUUGUAAGACAGGCGUGAAAUCCCCGGGCUCAACCUGGGAACUGCGUUUGUGACUGCAAGGCUAGAGUACGGCAGAGGGGGGUGGAAUUCCACGUGUAGCAGUGAAAUGCGUAGAGAUGUGGAGGAACACCAAUGGCGAAGGCAGCCCCCUGGGUCGAUACUGACGCUCAUGCACGAAAGCGUGGGUAGCAAACAGGAUUAGAUACCCUGGUAGUCCACGCCCUAAACGAUGUCAACUAGGUGUUGGGAGGGUAAAACCUUUUAGUACCGGAGCUAACGCGUGAAGUUGACCGCCUGGGGAGUACGGCCGCAAGGUU